CUCCCAGGUCUUUCUCUGCCUCUGUGGUGGAUAGUGGAGUGUUUCCCAUGUGGUAUUGGUGUGCUGGAUAUCUCUUCACUGGUAGCCUGGUAACAUACACUCCCAGGUCUUUCUCUGCCUCUGUGGUGGAUAGUGGAGUGUUUCCCAUGUGGUAUUGGUGUGCUGGAUAUCCCUUCACUGGUAGCCUGGUAACAUACACUCCCAGGUCUUUCUCUGCCUCUGUGGUGGAUAGUGGAGUGUUUCCCAUGUGGUAUUGGUGUGCUGGAUAUCCCUUCACUGGUAGCCUGGUAACAUACACUUCCAGGUCUUUCUCUGCCUCUGUGGUGGAUAGUGGAGUGUUUCCCAUGUGGUAUUGGUGUGCUGGAUAUCCCUUCACUGGUAGCCUGGUAACAUACACUCCCAGGUCUUUCUCUGCCUCUGUGGUGGAUAGUGGAGUGUUUCCCAUGUAGUAUUGGUGUGCUGGAUAUCCCUUCACUGGUAGCCUGGUAACAUACACUUCCAGGUCUUUCUCUGCCUCUGUGGUGGAUAGUGGAGUGUUUCCCAUGUGGUAUUGGUGUGCUGGAUAUCCCUUCACUGGUAGCCUGGUAACAUACACUCCCAGGUCUUUCUCUGCCUCUGUGGUGGAUAGUGGAGUGUUUCCCAUGUGGUAUUGGUGUGCUGGAUAUCCCUUCACUGGUAGCCUGGUAACAUACACUUCCAGGUCUUUCUCUGCCUCUGUGGUGGAUAGUGGAGUGUUUCCCAUGUGGUAUUGGUGUGCUGGAUAUCCCUUCACUGGUAGCCUGGUAACUAUACUCCCAUGUCUUUCU